UUAACAAGAAUGUUUGGGACAAAUCCCAGUGGGAAAGCCCGCCUCGGCGGACUACUAGACAUUCUGACC
rnacentral:ncRNA from 1 species